rnacentral:rRNA from 1 species
CAAUAAGCGGAGGAGAAGAAACCAACCAGGAUUCCCUCAGUAACGGCGAGUGAAGAGGGAGAAGCCCAGCACCGAAGCCUGCGGCGGGUUUGUCGGUAGGCCAUGUGGUGUGUGGGUUGGCUGGCGGGACCGCCGCUCCACUCCAAGUCCAGCAUUGAGUAUGGUAAUGAGUGAAUUUGGCCCACAGAGGGUGAUAGGCCCGUAGGAGUGGGGGCUCAGGCAGGUGAGGCGGUUCACCAGGCCGGCUCAA